CAGGGCCGGUAAACCUCGUGCCAGCCACCGCGGUUAUACGAGGGGCCCGAAGCAGCAGACCUCGGCGUAAAUAGUGGCUAGAAUAAUUGCCCACAUAUUAAAAACUAAACUCUGGCCUAACCGUAAAACACAGGCUAGAUGAAACCAAACAUUUUUAAUAACAGGUAAUUUGACCCACGAAAACUAAGAGACAAACUAGGAUUAGAUACCCUACUAUGCUUAGUCGUUAAUAUGAUAUUGUUCUACUAAAAUAUCCGCCAGAAGACUACGAGCGAAAAGCUUAAAACUCAAAGGACUUGGCGGUGCUCCAUACCGACUUAGAGGAGCCUGUCCUAUAAUCGAUACUCCACGCUAAACCUCACCAAUCUUUGCCAAAUCAGCCUAUAUACCGCCGUCGACAACCUACCUCAUGAGAGAAAAACAGUAAGUACAAAAGUUCAACAACUAAAACGUCAGGUCAAGGUGUAGCUAAUAGAAUGGAAGAGAUGGGCUACAUUUUUUAAGAUAAAACACACGGCACGGUACUAUGAAACUUCUACCUGAAGGAGGAUUUAAUAGUAAAACUAACAAGAAAGUUAAUUUUAAAU
rnacentral:rRNA from 1 species